UACGAAGGGUGCAAGCGUUACUCGGAAUUACUGGGCGUAAAGCGUGCGUAGGUGGUUUGUUAAGUCUGAUGUGAAAGCCCUGGGCUCAACCUGGGGAUUGCAUUGGAUACUGGCAAGCUAGAGUGCGGUAGAGGAUGGCGGAAUUCCCGGUGUAGCAGUGAAAUGCGUAGAGAUCGGGAGGAACAUCUGUGGCGAAGGCGGCCAUCUGGACCAGCACUGACACUGAGGCACGAAAGCGUGGGGAGCAAACAGG
rnacentral:rRNA from 1 species